ACCAACAGUUUCGAUGAGUUUGGACGAUAUUGAGCUUGCAAUUACAGCAUACUUGUAUGGUGAUAUAUUGGUAGAUAAGUAAGUAGAUUUAAUAGGCAUAUCAUUUUUUAACGGCGUUGUGAAUUUUUUUAGCUAUUUUUAUUUACGUUAAUUUAUCUUUGGCAACGAUGAGGAGGAUAUAGUGUUUUCAGAUCAUACAGCUCAUAGAGAUGUAUUCAGGAGUUUGAUUCCAGGCAAGCCAAUUGUUUCUCUUGUGCUAGACUUAGUAGCAGAUAUGAUGAAGAUAGAGUUGACCAGAGAAAGUAGUUAUUGGUUUUUACCUACAGUUUUUGCGUUGUCAGAGAAGACAAAAAUGGAUCCCAACUGUCUGCCGUCUUGCAUCACAGAUAUUUAUUUGGGCAAAGUGGACUGCUUAAAAAGAGUGUUUAUCCCUGUAUCUGAGACUAUUGAUGAAGGUCAUCAACACUGGUACCUGGUAGUGAUCGAUCGUGUUAAAGGACACAUCAUUUUGCUAGACCCGUUGCCCACUGAGAAAUAGUUCAAGCGAAAGAGGACAGCCUUGAAAUUAGCCAUUUUUUUAGACGAAGUAGUAGAAGACCGUCCAUUCUAUGACUUUGAGACUACUCCGAAUCUGAAUUCUUCACAAUUUGAAUUAGAAGAACCGGAGGGCCUUCCCACCCUCGAACAUGGAUCGUAAGAUAAUAUUAAUAGUAGUUAUUGGUAUGAAAGUUAUGCAUUAUAUAGCACUCUAAUAUAUCUUGCUCGAUAUUUAGUAAUGACGCGGGUGUGUGGGUUGCAAGUUGGAUGAUAGCUUGUUUUGAAGAUGAUC